rnacentral:rRNA from 1 species
CCUACGGGAGGCAGCAGUGGGGAAUAUUGCGCAAUGGGGGAAACCCUGACGCAGCGACGCCGCGUGGAUGAUGAAGGCCCUUGGGUUGUAAAAUCCUGUUCUGGGGGAAGAAAGCUUAAAGGUCCAAUAAACCCUUAAGCCUGACGGUACCCCAAGAGAAAGCUCCGGCUAAUUAUGUGCCAGCAGCCGCUGUAAUACAUAAGGAGCAGGCGUUAUCCGGAAUUAUUGGGCGUAAAGAGCUCGUAGGCGGUCUUAAAAGUCAGUUGUGAAAUUAUCAGGCUCAACCUGAUAAGGUCAUCUGAAACUUUAAGACUUGAGGUUAGAAGAGGAAAGUGGAAUUCCCGGUGUAGCGGUGAAAUGCGUAGAUAUCGGGAGGGACACCAGUGGCGAAGGCGGCUUUCUGGUCUAUCUCUGACGCUGAGGAGCGAAAGCUAGGGGAGCAAACGGGAUUAGAUACCCCGGUAGUCCGGUCCGCCUACGGGAGGCA